GUCCGCUGGCCUAGGCUCCCGCUGGCCUAGGCUCCCGCUCUCCAGGAGGCGCUCCCUUAUCUACCUCGGCGCACCCUCCCGAACGUGCUGACGUGGUUAAGGUCACUGAAAAAUAAGAAGUUCACGUAGUGUUUAUUUUUUUUUCUUGGACAGGUGGCUAUUUAAAUGUUUAGGUGAUAAGAUCUUGUUACUCCGUUACUUAGUUUCUUUAUAGUAAACAUUUGAGGGGAAGCUUGACUCUCAAUGCAGUGUGUCUCACAAAAAACUAUAGUAAAAUAUCAAGGACCACUGAGACUGCUAUUUGCUAUGGAACCUUAUACCUUUCUGCUUCUGUGGUUAUUAAGUUACCUAAACAUUUUGUUUUUGUCUCCACAGCCUUUGUUUGCUAGCAUCCAGCGUUUACCCCUUUGCCAAUCCUUUAUCUAGUUCUGCAUUUCUCUAUAACUUCGUCUUCUUAUUUCAACCUUACUACUUUAAGUUUGAACAAUUUCUAAGUCUCUGAUUAUAAAGAUGCUGAAGCCAAGAGCUUGUUCAGCCUAACUUUGUCAGAGAGCAUCACUGGAGACACCCCAGGGCAUGCAAUGGUCUCAUAGGGAAACUCUCAAUAUAUCUUGUUAUGGAUUCCGGAAACCUUGACUCAACCAAGAAGACACAUUGAAGAGUUGAUUACCUAGUCAUUAGGCUGGGUGUCACCAGCUGAGUCAGAUGCUGUGUGCUGGCUGUGUUCUCAUGCAGAGAGAACGUCGGCUCCUGACAGGACUUUUCAUGACAAUGAGACACAUCUGCUCCUGGUAGUACCAUUCUACUUCAAGAGGAUGGUGGGCAUUGAAGAGGUUCCUUAUGGAGUUUGCUAGCCAUUUGGGCAAGAAACUGCUCUUGCCUGGACUGCUUGAUGAAUUGGACAUGGAGGACCCACAGAAAAAUGACUGCUGAAGUUGCCUAAAGAAGGUGAGACAAUCUUUCAGAAUUCCUGCUUCAUGAAAGAGUCUGCCAGACAUUCUGCUGGACACAGAAGAAAGUGACCGGCAAACUGCCAAUAUGGGCAGACCUAUCUCUGAAAUUUCCUGCUUCAUGGAAGUCUGCCAGAUGCUAUGGUCCUGUAGGCUUAAAAUGGAUGCUCCAACACUGCAGAAGAACUUCAAGUGAUUGUCCAGGCAGCAAGAUGUCUCUGUCAAUUAUAAAGUUUUGGAAGUUGCUUACAAUGCAUUUCCUGUUUACUUAAGUAAUAUUAUAUCCUUCUGGAGUCUUUGAUGGGAGUUGACGAAUAGUUAUCUUUUUCCUUAGUUAUGAUAAAAGAUAAAGUAGAUAUAAAUAUUGAAACUUUAAUUCUUGCUUGAUACUUGUUUAAUUAUAUGCAAUUUUACUAUGUUAAAGUUAAAACUUCCCUUUUUAUUUACACAGAAAAGGGGAUGUGAUGUGGGAUUUCCCUCUGUAUGCUAUGAAUAUGCUUUAUUGCCAUUGGUUAAUAAAGAAGCUGCUGUUUCAGCCAUUGACUUAGCAGAAUAGGCCAAGCUGGGAAUUCCAAGCAGAUAGAUGAGGAGAGAGUAGGCAGAGUCAGGGAGAAGCCAUAUAGAUGCCAGAGGAGAAAGAGCCACCAGCAGGAACCUUUCUGGUAGGCUACGAGCCUCGUGGUAAAAUAUGAAAUGAUAGAAAUGGGUUAAUUUAAGACUUAAGAACUAGCUAGAAACAUGCUUAAGCUGAAAGGCCAAGCAGUGAUCUAAUUAAUACAAUUUCUGUAUGGUUAUUUUGGGAGUCUGGGUAGCCGGGAAUGAACGAGCAGCCUCCCCCAACAUGGCUUUCUUUG